UUUUAUUUAUUAAAAAAAAAAGAUUUUAUUUAUUUAAUUUAGAGAGAGAGCACACAGAGGGAGAGGGAGAAGCAGGUUCCCCGCUGAACAGAGAGCCCCAGCUCGGGGCUCGAUCCCAGGACCCUGAGACCAUGACCUGAGCGGCAGGCAGAGGCUUAACCAGCUGAGCCACCCAAAUGUCCCGGCAGCUAAAUAUUUUAUUUUUUAACAUGAAAACAUAUGCAAAUUUGACCUGUAUAACUAAAAAUUAGCUGCCUAUUCACAUAGAAUUCCAAACUAUAUUAAAGAUCCUGCGAGGGAUCCCUGGGUGGCUCAGUGGUUGAGCGCCUGCCUUAGGCCCAAGGCGUUUAAUCGGGGGUCCUGGGAUCGAGUCCUCAUCGGGCUCCCUGCAUGGAGCCUGCUUCUCUCUCUGCCUGUGUCUCUGCCACUCUCUCAUGAAUAAAUAAAUAAAAUCUUUAAUAAAUAAAUAAAUAAAUACCCUGAGAUACAAAAAAAAAAAAAUGUAAUAAAAUACUUAGUAUUUUUAUAUACUGCUUUUUAAUGAACUAUUCUCUACUUACCCAUCUCCUUGCUCUGUGCCCACUGCCUGUCCCACCUUCAUUUUGAACCUCCCCAAACCCACAUGCCACAUAUGUCCGAAAAUCAAUCUGUAGCCAUCCUACCCAUCCCCCAUGGUCCACUCCAAAUGCCACCAAGCUCUUUAUUCAGUCACUCUCUUUGUUCAACAUCUCCUUUAUGACAUUUGCUGGGCUAUGCCUAGCCCUGGCUGUGCGUGUUUGUCUGAAACCUCAGAGGACUCUUAUUCUGGGUUGCCAGGGUCCUAAUCUGGGUUGGAGAAAAGAAGCUUACAUGAAGUGAGAGACUGUGAGAGCUGGGCCCAAGUCUGUCCACUCCAGAACCUGAGCAGCUCUCGAUCAUCAAUGCGAGACCACCCAACGUAGACAAAGCAAAUGGAACUCUUUGAAGAAAGAUACCUCGAUCCAAGCGAUCCUCACGGAAGCUGGGAGAUACCUGCCUUGCGGGGCUCCUUGGGCAUCUUCCCCAAACAGGAGGUCAAGCGAGACUGGAGAGGUGCCUGCAGGAGAAAGAGGCUUCCCAGACACCCUGUCUAUACAGAGAUCACAGCCGGGAGCAGAAUAAAUGAGCACUUCACCAACUUGAAAAUACAAUUCUCUUGGUUAUUAAUAGUCAAAAGACUCCCAGUACUGGGCCAGAAGUUUCUUUUUUAGUAGCAAUUACUUAAAUUAAGUUUCUGAUUUGUAUUAAAGUUUUCUGGCAGAACUCAACACAGGAUGCAAGAGCAUGAGGAAGAUUUCCAAACAAGAUUACACGGUUUUCCGAUGUGAUACAUUUGAUCAUCUCUGAAAAGGCAGGGGCGACAUUGCAAUCUUAAUUGAAAUGUCAAAUUCUUGGGAAACGUUCUCCUUGUUAACAUUGGACUUAAGGAUUGUAAUGAUUAUUUACUUUGAGCUCCAGAGGUUUUGAAGAAAUGUAAAAGAAUCCUAAGCAGGUGAAUGAGAGAUUUGACAGAUACUUAAAAAACACCAUUUGGGGAAAACCUGGUUUUUGUCCCUUGAGGGAUCCUCAAAAUCUGUUCAAUGAGGCAUUGUUCCAUUUUUUUUCUCUUUCAGUCUUCUCUUCCUUGAACUAGGCCUUUUCAAAGAAUGCUUCUGCUCAUUGACCAGCAGGUUGAGAGAUUUAUAUUUGGUUUCUAAUUAAGUACCCUAACUGUAAGUGAGAGAAUGGAGAAGAAAAGCCCAUAGUCUUAUAUCCCAAGAAGAAAGCAAGUGUUUGCUUCAGUGGCAAACCUGCCUUCUCAGGAGUCUAAGGGGGAGCAAAGAAGGCCCAUUUUAUUUCUUCUGAAGACAUCCUCUGGCGCUUGAGAACGUCUGAUGUUGUUUAGCAGGGUAAGCCAACCGCUGAUGGGUUCUGUUAAGAACAAAAGCCUUGGCUUCUGGUCCCAGAGAGUAAUGAAUUUCUAGUAACACUUAACAUGGUAAUUACGAUGAAAAAUGUAUUUUAAAAUUAAUGUACUUUAACAGAUAUGUCAAGUUGAAUCCAGAGCCAAGGACACUGGCUUAAACUAAAUUGACUUAUGGCCUUUUGGGAUUCUUGGGUCAUGUAAGAGCUCAGUUUGACUUUAUCCCUAACUCAGUUUCUCUAUUCCCUCUUCAUAUCACAACUAUUAGAGACAUAAAAAGUGCCCUGUGACUAUGAUAUAGUCUUUUGGGAGACCUGGAAGAUGUCAUAUCUUUUUUUUCUUGAAAAUAAAGUUUAUAGGGGUCCCUGGGUAGCUCAGUCAAUUGAGCCUCCUACUCUUGAUUUCAGCUGAGGUUGUGAUAUCUGGGUCAUGGGGUCAGGCCUGGCCUCAGGCUUCAUGCUCAGCGUGGAGUCUGCUUGUCUCUCUCCUUCCCCCUGAUUGUAUACUCUCUCUCUCUAAAAUAAUAAAAUCCUUUUUAAAAAAUUAAAAAUUAAAAAAAAAGGAAAGUUUAUCGGGGCACCUGACUGACUCAGCCAAGGGGGCACAUGAAUCUUGACCUUGGAGUUGUGAGUUCAAGCCCCAUAUUGGAUAUAGAGAUUACUUAAAAAUAAAAUCUUUUUUAUUUUUAAAGAAAGUGUAUAAAAACAACACAUUGUAAAAAUAUUAUCCCAAACCCAAAAAGCUGAUUCUUCUGUCCGUUUCAAAGAAAUCAAGAUAGAAAUAAAAUUGUUUUUAUUAAUAUUUGGAGGACGGCAUUCAUAUCUAAGUAAGAAUUAUGCUUGUGAAAAAAAGAGAUCUGAACUCACUCUAAAAAAUUUUGCCCCCUUCCAUUUCUGUACAUUAGAAAACCGUUCCUGCCUUCCUCUUUACUUUUCCAAGUUAUUAAAGAUUUUGUGUCUUUCUUAGUUUCCCGGUAUGAAGCAAAACACUGUAAAUACAUCAGAGAAAUGCUAGAAUUUUAGCCAGUAAUAAUUCAAAGCUUUGACUCUGAAUACAGGCACCCACUAUUCACAGUAUUUCCCAUUGUAUCCUGUUUACAGAGAACCCAGAUGAAUGGUGCCCACCUGGAGGUGUCCCAUGGACCGAAAUAAUCUUAGCAAAUGUGCGAUGGUCUGGGUACAGCCGCUGCUACCUCCUCAUCUAGCUGAGCCCACUGCUUGGUGCCACCAGUCUGUUAGAUAGUAACCUUCAAGCCCUCCUGGCCUUGUUGAUAUUUCGUUGCCUAUCAGUGGAUCAUUAGUUGGAGUAUUUCCUUAGUCAUAGAGACUAGCCGUUUGUUGGGACGUUCUCAGUAGGAACUACAGUUGAAGAUAACAGAAGGGUUAUUUAAACAUGAAUGUGAAAACACAAAACAAAACACUUCUUUCUUCUUGGGGCCUAAGACUGUUUUGUUAUUUUCUGAUUCUUAAACUUGUUCAGGCUUCUUAAGUGCAGAGAUCUGAUUGUCUUUUUAAUCUUUCCUGUGACAUUUGAAUGUUUAAGUCUUUUGAGAAUAUAUAUAUUUACAUUUUCCAACCAGCCAACGGCACUUAAUAUCUUCUAUAGUUCCAAAGAUUAGGAAAAGAAGAGAAAGCUAGAGAGUUGGCAAGCAAGUGUGUAAUAAUCUGGCAAGGAAAUUCUUGAGCAAGAAUAUAUGGGUUUGAGUUUAUUGGAACAUUUGAAAGCAAUUAAAUUGUUUUUUUCCCCUCAAACUUAUUUUUGUCCUUUUUACUUUAAGCACACAGAGGCAUACAGCUGAAAAAUAACAUUGCAAGUAUAAAUGAAUCAUUAAGCUGAUCAAGCCAAGAAGCUACUACCAGGAGUCUUUAUAGAAUACUAGGUAAGGGGGAUCCCUGGGUGGCGCAGCAGUUUGGCGCCUGCCUUUGGCCCAGGGCGCGAUCCUGGAGACCCGGGAUCGAAUCCCACAUCAGGCUCCCGGUGCAUGGAGCCUGCUUCUCCCUCUGCCUGUGUCUCUGUCUCUCUCUCUCUCUCUCUCUGUGUGACUAUCAUAAAUAAAUAAAAAUUAAAAAUAAAUAAAAAAUAGAAUACUAGGUAAAAUGUCUGUCAUCUAUGCUCAGGCUUAUUGGAGGGGUCGGGACCAGCCCUUUAAAAAAAAAAACUGAUCAGCUCCUGAAUAUUCAAAUUUAUAUUUAUUGACCUGAUACAGAGUGUCCUGCAUAGUGUUAAAAACAGCGUCUUCCAAACUGUGG
rnacentral:lncRNA from 1 species